GCAUGUGAGUCAAUUUUGACAGUUACUCUGUGAAAGAAUGAAUGAAAACGAAAAAAAAAAACAAAUUGUCAUUAAAAUUCUUGUUGUCAUGGCCGGUCGGUGGAUUUUCAUAAUAAGUAACAACUUAAAAAGUUUAAAAACCAAUAUUAUGAGUUCCGCAACUCGGCCGUCGUACCGCCAGACGAAAUUACUUGUAGAAUAUCUAGAAAGUAACCUAGGAAUGGCCAGGGAUCUUCUUAAACCGACCUAGGGAAGAUAAAAUUAUGAAAAAAUUGUAUCAAUGGCCUCGACCUUUAAUGCGGUCGAAGGGUCUUGAAAAGAUGGACUCCGCUGAUAUGCCUAAAACUGAGGCAUUCCAUGGUAAAUGGCAGGAUCAUAACAUACUUAAUGUCGAGGUGCAGCAUCCUGAACCCAUCAUACCCAGGCCUGAACUAUCAAGCCUCAACUCAUCCUGCUCGCACCUCCCAGCGUAGAUCCAGCCGCCGCAACCAAGUUGAUGUAGAAGUAGACAGAGUGAUGGCCAUAGAGGAAAAGCAGGUAGAUGCCUAA